UCUUAUAAAUAAGCAAAGAAGUGGUUUAAGAUGAAAUCUAGUCCUCAUGAAGAUGAUGUGAA
rnacentral:pre_miRNA from 1 species